GCCAGUAUAGUGGAUAUGACCCUCGGCAUGUAACUGAGUGGGCUCGGGUUCGAAUCCCGGUUAAGGCA